rnacentral:rRNA from 1 species
GAUGAACGCUGGCGGCGUGCCUAACACAUGCAAGUCGAACGGAAAGGCCCUGCGUUUGUGGGGUGCUCGAGUGGCGAACGGGUGAGUAACACGCGAGUAACAUGCCCUUGACUUUGGGAGAACUUCACGAAACUGGGGCUAAUAUCGGAGAGGAGCUCCUGCUGCAUGGGGGGGGUUGGAAAGUUUCGGCGGUUGGGGAUGGAAUAGCGGCUUACCGGCUAGUUGGUGGGGUAGUGGCUUACCAAGGCUUUGACGGGUAGGCGGCCUUGGAGGGUGGCCGGCCACCUGGGGCCUGCGGUACGGCGCAGUCUGCUACGGGCGGCAAUGGUGGGAAGUAUUGCACAGUGGGCGCGCGCCUGUUGCGGCGGCGCCGCGUUCGGGAUGCCGUCCUUCGGGUUAUGAACCGCUUUCGCCUGUGCCGAGGCGGUCUUGACGGUACCGAGUCAGAAAGCCCCGGCUAACUACGUG